rnacentral:tRNA from 1 species
GCGGGCGUGGCGGAAUUGGCAGACGCGCCAGAUUUAGGAUCUGGUGGAGAAAUCCGUGGGGGUUCAAGUCCCUCCGCCCGCACCA